rnacentral:rRNA from 1 species
CCUACGGGGGGCUGCAGUGGGGAAUAUUGGACAAUGGGCGAAAGCCUGAUCCAGCCAUGCCGCGUGUGUGAAGAAGGCCUUCGGGUUGUAAAGCACUUUCAGUGGGGAAGAAAGCCUUGGGGCUAAUACCCUCGAGGAAGGACAUCACCCACAGAAGAAGCACCGGCUAACUCCGUGCCAGCAGCCGCGGUAAUACGGAGGGUGCGAGCGUUAAUCGGAAUUACUGGGCGUAAAGCGCGCGUAGGCGGUCUGAUAAGCCGGUUGUGAAAGCCCCGGGCUCAACCUGGGAACGGCAUCCGGAACUGUCAGGCUAGAGGGCAGGAGAGGAAGGUAGAAUUCCCGGUGUAGCGGUGAAAUGCGUAGAGAUCGGGAGGAAUACCAGUGGCGAAGGCGGCCUUCUGGACUGACACUGACGCUGAGGUGCGAAAGCGUGGGUAGCAAACAGGAUUAGAUACCCCAGUAGUC